AUUGAACGCUGGCGGCAUGCCUUACACUCGCAAGUCGAACGGGGGUAGCAAUACCCUAGUGGUGAACGGGUGAGUAAAGCAUCGGAACGUACCCAGUCGUGGGGGAUAACGUAGCGAAAGUUACGCUAAUACCGCAUACGAUCUGAGGAUGAAAGCAGGGGACUCGCAAGAGCCUUGCGCGAUUGGAGCGGCCGAUGUCGGAUUAGCUAGUUGGUGAGGUAAAAGCUCACCAAGGCGACGAUCCGUAGCUGGUCUGAGAGGAUGAUCAGCCACACUGGGACUGAGACACGGCCCAGACUCCUACGGGAGGCAGCAGUGGGGAAUUUUGGACAAUGGGGGAAACCCUGAUCCAGCCAUGCCGCGUGAGUGAAGAAGGCCUUCGGGUUGUAAAGCUCUUUCAGACGGAAAGAAAUGGUCUUGGCUAAUACCCGAGAUCGAUGACGGUACCGUAAGAAGAAGCACCGGCUAACUACGUGCCAGCAGCCGCCGUAA
rnacentral:rRNA from 1 species